GGUAAUCCAGGGAGCCUCAGCCGAUUACCAUUUUGCCUUUGCCUUUUGUAUAUUAGCAAUGUUAGCAGCGCUUGGUGCGGGAGCAAUCAUGAUGAUCGAAGUAGUAAAAGCUUAAACAGCUGUUAAAACUUUUUUAGUUUAAGUAUCAUAAUUGCCGACAGAUUCCUUAUUCAGAAAUUUAUGUUAUUAAAAAACUGCAAAUAUUUAGAAUAUGAAAGAGAAUGGAAAGCAAUAUUACAUAGAACUUAUGAAUUAUAAACCCAAAAUCUACUAUAGUUAUUACUAGAAGUAAAAUAUACAUAGCUGAUUUAUGUUUGAUGUACAUGAUGUGAUUGCCUGUCUGUCUGUCUUUUUUUUCUCUCUCUUUUUACUUUCUCUAUCAUAUAUAACUCUUUUGCAUAAUAUUAUGCUAUAUAUUAAUUUUUCUUGUACCAUGUAUGUAAAAUUGUAAAAGAGUUUCAAUAAAAUGUUUCAAAAAAAAACUGUGUAAUCAACGUGAUUAAAAAGUCAUAUAUCUUAU
rnacentral:misc_RNA from 1 species